AAGGAUAAGUUAGAAAGGGCGCACGGUGAAUGCCUUGGCACUAGGAGCCGAUGAAGGACGCGACGAACCGCGAUAGGCUUCGGGGAGCUGUAAGUA
rnacentral:rRNA from 1 species